GACGAACGCUGGCGGCGUGCUUAAUACAUGCAAGUCGAGCGGUAAGGCCUCUUCGGGGGUACACGAGCGGCGAACGGGUGAGUAACACGUGGGUGACCUGCCCCCAGCUCUGGGAUAAGCCUGGGAAACUGGGUCUAAUACCGGAUAUGACCUUUCCUCGCAUGGGGUUUGGUGGAAAGUUUUUUCGGCUGGGGAUGGGCCCGCGGCCUAUCAGCUUGUUGGUGGGGUGAUGGCCUACCAAGGCGACGACGGGUAGCCGGCCUGAGAGGGCGACCGGCCACACUGGGACUGAGACACGGCCCAGACUCCUACGGGAGGCAGCAGUGGGGAAUAUUGCGCAAUGGGCGGAAGCCUGACGCAGCGACGCAGCGUGGGGGAUGACGGCCUUCGGGUUGUAAACCUCUUUCGACCCCGACGAAUUUGGACGGUAGGGGUAGAAGAAGCACCGGCCAACUACGUG
rnacentral:rRNA from 1 species